rnacentral:rRNA from 1 species
CGACGAAACUUCUUUAUCACCGAGUGCUUGCACUCACCGAUAAAGAGUUGAGUGGCGAACGGGUGAGUAACACGUGGGCAACCUGCCCAAAAGAGGGGGAUAACACUUGGAAACAGGUGCUAAUACCGCAUAACCAUAGUUACCGCAUGGUAACUAUGUAAAAGGUGGCUAUGCUACCGCUUUUGGAUGGGCCCGCGGCGCAUUAGCUAGUUGGUGGGGUAAAGGCUUACCAAGGCAAUGAUGCGUAGCCGAACUGAGAGGUUGAUCGGCCACAUUGGGACUGAGACACGGCCCAAACUCCUACGGGAGGCAGCAGUAGGGAAUCUUCCACAAUGGGCGAAAGCCUGAUGGAGCAACGCCGCGUGGGUGAAUAAGGUCUUCGGAUCGUAAAACCCUGUUGUUAGAGAAGAAAGUGCGUGAGAGUAACUGUUCACGUUUCGACGGUAUCUAACCAGAAAGCCACGGCUAACUACGAGCCAGCAGCCGCGGUAAUACGUAGGUGGCAAGCGUUAUCCGGAUUUAUUGGGCGUAAAGGGAACGCAGGCGGUCUUUUAAGUCUGAUGUGAAAGCCUUCGGCUUAACCGGAGUAGUGCAUUGGAAACUGGGAGACUUGAGUGCAGAAGAGGAGAGUGGAACUCCAUGUGUAGCGGUGAAAUGCGUAGAUAUAUGGAAGAACACCAGUGGCGAAAGCGGCUCUCUGGUCUGUAACUGACGCUGAAGUUCGAAAGCGUGGGUA